rnacentral:rRNA from 1 species
GACGAACGCUGGCGGCGUGCUUAACACAUGCAAGUCGAACGGAAAGGCCCUGCUUUUGUGGGGUGCUCGAGUGGCGAACGGGUGAGUAACACGUGGAUAACCUGCCCUUGACUUUGGGAUAACUUCAGGAAACUGGGGCUAAUACCGGAUAGGAGCUCCUGCUGCAUGGUGGGGGUUGGAAAGUUUCGGCGGCUGGGGAUGGACUCGCGGCUUAUCAGCUUGUUGGUGGGGUAGUGGCUUACCAAGGCUUUGACGGGUAGCCGGCCUGAGAGGGUGACCGGCCACAUUGGGACUGAGGUACGGCCCAGAAUCCUACGGGAGGCAGCAGGGGGGAAUAUUGCACAAUGGGCCGAAGCCUGUGGCAGAGACGUCGCGUGCGGGAUGACGGCUUUUGGGGAAUGAACAGCUUUCGCCUGUGACGAAGCGUGAGUGACGGUAAUGAGAAAAGAAGCACCGGCUAACUACGUG